rnacentral:lncRNA from 1 species
UCAGAGUGAACACAUCAUCUUAACGUCCCCACAUUAAUUUUCUUUUUUUUUUCCCCUAGGAUAGGCCAAGCCCAAGGUCUUUGGCUCGUGGCCAGCCAAGCUCCAAGUGACACAGUGUUUGCCUGCUCCUACUUCAGCGCAGGUACUUCAUUUUCCACCAUUUCCGUUGUGAGUCAGCGUUCCAGACAUCCCUGAUUUACAGUGAUAACUGGGAGACAACAGCUUCGAGCAUGGUCUGUACCCUCAGACAGAAGUCAUGGGAAUACUGCCACGUAACGUUUAAGUUGUGAUCAGCCUCCUGUAUAGGGUUUGUCGCUGUGGCCUCAUGGACCACCGAGUCAUAAUUCAGCACAAUGGUAGGGGAGGAAGCUUUUGAUGCAGAAGAUGUGAAUGAGAAACUGGAGGUGUGAACUUCCUGAAGCAACUCUACCACAACUGGCCUUGCUGUGCUUCCCAGACGAGACAUGGACGCCACCCCCCAGGAGUCCAGAGCUGUUGUGAUGUUCUGCCCUGUGAACAAUUUCCAACUCCGGCAGGGACUGCAUGGAGGAAGCGCAGCAGUGUGGAGCUGGGCUGGCUGCUGGACAGCGGCAGGCCAGAGCAGCGUGCCUCUGAACGGCUCCGGGUGCAGGCCAGUUGCAGGAAAUGAGCUGAAAAAAGACAGAGAGAAGGGCUUCAGCCACAGCACUACCUGCCAAGAGGAUGUUAAACCAACAGCACUGCUCUGUGCUCCUGGAGUUUCUGGAAGCCCUCCUUCCUCAAAGCGACAAACACCUUUCAGGAGUAGCAUCUUGUGGAGCACCAG